UACAGAGGUCUCAAGCGUUGUUCGGAUUCAUUGGGCGUUAAAGGGGUGUGUAGGUGGCGCCGUAAGUCGGGUGUGAAAUUUCGGAGCUUAACUUCCGAAACUGCAUUCGAUAACUGCGGUGCUUGAGGACUGGAGAGGAGACUGGAAUUCGAUGGUGUAGCAGUGAAAUGCGUAGAGAUCAAUGAGGAAGACCAGUGGCGAAGG
rnacentral:rRNA from 1 species